GAUGAACGCUGGCGGCGUGCCUAAUACAUGCAAGUCGAGCGAACAGACGAGGAGCUUGCUCCUCUGACGUUAGCGGCGGACGGGUGAGUAACACGUGGAUAACCUACCUAUAAGACUGGGAUAACUUCGGGAAACCGGAGCUAAUACCGGAUAAUAUAUUGAACCGCAUGGUUCAAUAGUGAAAGACGGUUUUGCUGUCACUUAUAGAUGGAUCCGCGCCGCAUUAGCUAGUUGGUAAGGUAACGGCUUACCAAGGCGACGAUGCGUAGCCGACCUGAGAGAGGGAUCGGCCACACGGGAACUGAGACACGGACCAGACUCCUACGGGAGGCAGCAGUAGGGAAUCUUCCGCAACGGGCGAAAGCCUGACGGAGCAACGCCGCGUGAGUGAUGAAGGUCUUCGGAUCGUAAAACUCUGUUAUUAGGGAAGAACAAAUGUGUAAGUAACUAUGCACGUCUUGACGGUACCUAAUCAGAAAGCCACGGCUAACUACGUG
rnacentral:rRNA from 1 species